AGGAAGUGAAGCCUGCCAACAACCAUGAGAGGGAGGCUGGAAGCAGACCUGCAGUGCACUCAAGCUUCCAGGAUCAAUCACAGUGGGAGCAAGCCAACUGCCACAUAAUGGAAGGCACUCAAGCAACCCUAUGGAGAGCCCCACAAGGUAACUGAAGGUUCUGGCCAAAAGAUAGUGAAGAACUGAGGCAUCAUGUCAACAGCUGAAUGAGUGAACUUGAGAGCAGAUUCUCCAGCCCCAGUCAAGCCUUUGGAUUACUGCAGGCUUGGUCAAUCAUCUUUAUUUUGAUUUUAUGAGAGACCUCACUCCUGAACCACCAGGGAAAGACAAUUCCCAUGUCAUGAAGACACUUCACCGGCCAAGUGGGAAGGCUCACAUCAUGAGCCUAAGGAAACUGAUGCUAAAAGAUACAAAAUCUGAAAUUUGAAGAAGUAUUUGCCCGAGGUCACAAAGCCAGGGGAGCUACCUACACUCUUAAUCACUACACCGUUUCUCUUACCUUCCAGGAUUAUGUUAAGGAUCAAGGAAAAGACAACUAGCAAGAGUGCUUUGUAAAUUAUAAUAUGCCAAAUACAAUCUUAGCUAUAGUUCUGCAAAAAUAGGAAUGAUAUUAAAUUGAGAGUCAUAACUUGGAGUUGCCCUGACACCAGAGCCUAGAGAACACCUAAAUGAACCAGAGAAGAGGGCAGA